UACCAGCACCCCGAGUGGUCGGGACGUUUAUUGGGCCUAAAGCAUCCGUGUCGACUGUUACAAGUCUUCCGUUAAAUCCACCUGCUUAACAGAUGGGCUGCGGAAGAUACUAUGGAGCUAGGAGGCGGGAGAGGCAAGCGGUACUCGAUGGGUAGGGGUAAAAUCCGUUGAUCCAUUGAAGACCACCAGUGGCGAAGGCGGCUUGCCAGAACGCGCUCGACGGUGAGGGAUGAAAGCUGGGGGAGCAAACCGG
rnacentral:rRNA from 1 species